rnacentral:rRNA from 1 species
UGGACUUAGGCAAAUCCGGGUCCACAAUCUCGAGACGCGACGACGACCGCUCUUAGAGCGGGAAGUCAUUGAUGCCAUGCUUCCAGGAAAAUCUUCUAAGCUUCAGGCUAUUCGAGACCGUACCCCAAACCGACACAGGUGGUUGGGUAGAGAAUACCAAGGCGCUUGAGAGAACUCGGGUAAAGGAACUAGGCAAAAUGGUGCCGUAACUUCGGGAGAAGGCACGCUGGUGGUAGGUGAGACCCCUUGCGGGUGGAGCUGACGCCAGUCGAAGAUACCAGGCCCCUGCGACUGUUUAUUAAAAACACAGCACUGUGCAAACACGAAAGUGGACGUAUACGGUGUGACGCCUGCCCGGUGCCGGAAGGUUAAUUGAUGGGGUUAGCGCUUGCGCGAAGCUCUUGAUCGAAGCCCCGGUAAACGGCGGCCGUAACAAUAACGGUCCUAAGGUAGCGAAAUUCCUUGUCGGGUAAGUUCCGACCUGCACGAAUGGCGUAACGACUUCCCCGCUGUCUCCAACAUAGACUCAGCGAAAUUGAAUUGCCUGUCAAGAUGCAGGCUACCCGCGGUUAGACGGAAAGACCCCGUGCACCUUCACUACAGCUUCGCACUGGCAUCAGACACAACAUGUGCAGGAUAGGUGGUAGGCUUCGAAGCAGGGACGCCAGUCUCUGUGGAGCCUCCCUUGAGAUACCACCCUUGCUUUGCUUGAUGUCUAACCGCGGUCCGUUAUCCGGAUCCGGGACCCUGUGUGGUGGGUAGUUUGACUGGGGCGGUCUCCUCCCAAAGCGUAACGGAGGAGCACAAAGGUGGGCUAAGCAUGGUCGGACAUCAUGCGGUUAGUGUAAUGGCACAAGCCCGCUUAACUGCGAGACAGACACGUCGAGCAGGUACGAAAGUAGGUCAUAGUGAUCCGGUGGUUCUGUAUGGAAGGGCCAUCGCUCAACGGAUAAAAGGUACGCCGGGGAUAACAGGCUGAUACUGCCCAAGAGUCCAUAUCGACGGCA